rnacentral:rRNA from 1 species
UACGGGGGGGGCAAGCGUUGUUCGGAAUUACUGGGCGUAAAGGGCUCGUAGGUUGCCAACUAAGUCAGACGUGAAAUCCCUCGGCUUAACCGGGGAACUGCGUCUGAUACUGGAUGGCUUGAGUUCGGGAGAGGGAUGCGGAAUUCCAGGUGUAGCGGUGAAAUGCGUAGAUAUCUGGAGGAACACCGGUGGCGAAGGCGGCCUCCUGGACCGACACUGACACUGAGGAGCGAAAGCCAGGGGAGCAAACGGG